GAUGAACGCUGGCGGCGUGCCUAAUACAUGCAAGUCGAGCGAACGGACCCGAAGCUUGCUUUUCUGAUGUUGUCGGCGGACGGGUGCGUAACAUGUGGAUAACCUACCUCUCAGACUGGGAUACCUUCGGGAAACCGGAUCUUAUACCGGAUAAUAUUUUGCACCUCAUUGUUCAAAAGUUAAAGACGGUCUUGCUGUCACUUAUAGAUGGAUCCGCGCUGCAUUAGCUAGUUGGUAAGGUAACGGCUUACCAAGGCAACGAUGCAUAGCCGACCUGAGAGAGUGAACGGACAGAAGGGAAGUGAGACAGGGUCCAGACUCUGAAGGGAGGAAGCAGUAGAGAAUCUUACGCAAUGGGCGAAAGCCUGAUGGAGCAAAGCCGCGUGAGUGAUGAAGGAGUACUGAUGGUAAAAAUCUGUUAUUAGGGAAGAAGAAAUGUGUAAGUAACCGUGAACAUCAUGACGGUACCUAAGCAAAAAGCCACGGCUAACUACGUG
rnacentral:rRNA from 1 species